rnacentral:rRNA from 1 species
UACGUAGGGGGCAAGCGUUGUCCGGAAUUACUGGGCGUAAAGCGCGUGUAGGCGGUUUGUUCAAGUCAGGUGUGAAAGCCUUGAGCUCAACUCAAGAAAUGCACUUGAUACUGGAUGACUAGAGGACCGGAGAGGAUAGUGGAAUUCCCAGUGUAGUGGUGAAAUACGUAGAGAUUGGGAAGAACACCAGUGGCGAAGGCGGCUAUCCUGGGACGGUUUCUGACGCUAAGACGCGAAAGCGUGGGGAGCAAACAGG